AGUGAACGCUGGCGGUAGGCCUAACACAUGCAAGUCGAACGGCAGCACAGUAAGAGCUUGCUCUUACGGGUGGCGAGUGGCGGACGGGUGAGGAAUACAUCGGAAUCUACUUUUUCGUGGGGGAUAACGUAGGGAAACUUACGCUAAUACCGCAUACGACCUACGGGUGAAAGCAGGGGAUCUUCGGACCUUGCGCGAUUGAAUGAGCCGAUGUCGGAUUAGCUAGUUGGCGGGGUAAAGGCCCACCAAGGCGACGAUCCGUAGCCGGUCUGAGAGGAUGAUCAGCCACACUGGAACUGAGACACGGUCCAGACUCCUACGGGAGGCAGCAGUGGGGAAUAUUGGACAAUGGGCGCAAGCCUGAUCCAGACAUACCGCGUGGGUGAAGAAGGCCUUCGGGUUGUAAAGCCCUUUUGUUGGGAAAGAAAAGCAGCAGGUUAAUACCCCGCUGUUCUGACGGUACCCAAAGAAUAAGCACCGGCUAACUUCGUG
rnacentral:rRNA from 1 species